rnacentral:rRNA from 1 species
GGAGGAAAGCAGGGGAUCGUAAGACCUUGCGCUUAUGGAGCGGCCGAUGCCUGAUUAGCUAGUUGGUGGGGUAAUGGCUCACCAAGGCUACGAUCAGUAGUUGGUCUGAGAGGACGACCAGCCACACUGGGACUGAGACACGGCCCAGACUCCUACGGGAGGCAGCAGUGGGGAAUUUUGGACAAUGGGCGAAAGCCUGAUCCAGCAAUGCCGCGUGAGUGAAGAAGGCCUUCGGGUUGUAAAGCUCUUUCAGUCGAGAAGAAAAGGUUGUGACUAAUAAUCACAAUUUAUGACGGUAUCGACAGAAGAAGCACCGGCUAACUACGUGCCAGCAGCCGCGGUAAUACGUAGGGUGCAAGCGUUAAUCGGAAUUACUGGGCGUAAAGGGUGCGCAGGCGGCUUUGUAAGUCAGAUGUGAAAUCCCCGGGCUUAACCUGGGAAU